rnacentral:rRNA from 1 species
UACGUAGGGGGCAAGCGUUGUCCGGAUUUAUUGGGCGUAAAGAGCGUGUAGGCGGCUUGGUAGGUCCGCUGUGAAAACUCGAGGCUUAACCUCGAGCUGUCGGCGGAAACCAUCUGGCUAGAGUCCGGAAGAGGAGAAUGGAAUUCCAGGUGUAGCGGUGAAAUGCGUAGAUAUCUGGAGGAAUACCGGUGGCGAAGGCGGCAUCCUGGACCGGCAUUGACGCUGAGGAGCGAAAGCUAGGGGAGCAAACGGG